ACUUCUCAGAUUCACUGAGAUGGCUCCCAGUCGUAAUCUCUCUAUCUCUCUCUUUGCCAUCGUCUCUGUUUCCUUUUCGUCGUUCAUGUUCGGCUCCCUAAAUCCCUCUCUGAUUCGAGCAAGAACCCUAAUUCGUGAUUUGAUUUAUGAUUCAUAUCGAGAUGGUAAUAAACAGAAACCUACUUCAUCACAUCUCUCGUCCUCUAAAGUCGUCCCCUUUUCUUCUUCCUCUCAGGCCCUUCUCUGUCAAAUGGAGAAGAACAAAGCCAAGAACGGUUCGAAGUCUUCUCCUUUCGAGUUCAACUGGUAAGAACAAGAAGAGCCUCGAAAGAAAAACACGCAAAUUCAAUCCCAACACUACUGCUUACGCACAGAUACUUUGUCUUCUGUAUUACUCUUCUUUGAUAAAUAAAGAUUCAUCUCAAAUGCUGGAGAGGUAAAAAGUUCCUACAUUUUUAUUGUAUGAUCUUGGUACUAAAAUCAGUUAUUGUAUAGUACUGUAUGAUUCUUGAUCCACUUAUUGUCUCUAAGUUGAUCACUUACUGGUCAAUUUGUUGUAUUAUGCAGGGCUUGCAACGUUUCUGUUUCUCUAUGCUUGUGUUGUUUUGAGUUUGAAGUUUGGUGUUUAUCUUAAUUAUUACAGAUAGAUCAUGUGUUUUGUCUCGUGUCUGCUCAGAGACUGCAGGUGGACAAGAGUAGAGGUGUGCUUCGAUUGUAGUGCAAAGGAUCCAACAUGGGCUUCGGUUACUUACAGCGUAUUUCUCUGCAUCGAUUGCUCAAGCCAUGGCUGAAGAAGCUCCUUUGCCUUCAUCUGUUGCUACUUCUCAGCCAGUAGAAUCAUAUGAGCCUCCUGCAAAAGAGAGUCUUUGGUUAUUAAGCAAAAGAGGCAACCGUUGCUCAGUUUUCUUCACCAAAAGCUUCUCAGGGAGCUGUGGCUAGUUAAUUCUAUAUGGAAACAGCGACGCUGAGCCUGUAGCUGAAGCUUGUGCCCAGCUGACUCAAGAGUUCUUUAAGGGUGAUACUCUCUGCUGCUUGAUCACUUCACUUCAGUAUUUGAACUUGGAGGCAAGGAAAGAUGCUACAUUCAACAGCUGAGAGAGGGUGUGCAAAUCAUGGAGAUUCAAAUUCAGAUAUAUCAGCUGGUGGUUUAGAGGAAACUGUUGUAUGACUAUGAGAGAAGUUGAAGCUUUUCAGAAGGUUCACAGUGAAGUUGAUGAGCUUUAUAGCCAGCAAAGAGAGUGUGUUCUAGCGUUGAGUUUUAUAUUUACUGUGUUUUGUGAGUAUAGUGAGACAAAGAGGAUACAAGUUUAUUCUUCCAAAAAAAGAGGAUACAAGUCUGAGAUUAAUUAUUGAUCUUUAGAUCAAAUGUUAAUCUAGGGUUUUAAAUGAAAAUUGGAGUUUGUAAUUUAUUGCAUGUUUAAGGGUAAAAUGAAAGUUUCGGUGAAUUUUAAGUA